UACGUAGGGUGCAAGCGUUGUCCGGAAUUAUUGGGCGUAAAGAGCUCGUAGGCGGUUUGUUGCGUCGGCUGUGAAAUCCCGAGGCUCAACCCCCAGCCUGCAGUGGGUACGGGCAAACUAGAGUGCGGUAGGGGAGAUUGGAAUUCCUGGUGUAGCGGUGGAAUGCGCAGAUAUCAGGAGGAACACCGAUGGCGAAGGCAGAUCUCUGGGCCGUAACUGACGCUGAGGAGCGAAAGCAUGGGGAGCGAACAGG
rnacentral:rRNA from 1 species